rnacentral:rRNA from 1 species
UACGAAGGGGGCUAGCGUUGCUCGGAAUUACUGGGCGUAAAGGGCGCGUAGGCGGACAGUUUAGUCAGAGGUGAAAGCCCAGGGCUCAACCUUGGAAUUGCCUUUGAUACUGGCUGUCUUGAGUUCGGGAGAGGUGAGUGGAAUGCCGAGUGUAGAGGUGAAAUUCGUAGAUAUUCGGCGGAACACCAGUGGCGAAGGCGACUCACUGGCCCGAUACUGACGCUGAGGCGCGAAAGCGCGGGGAGCAAACAGG